rnacentral:lncRNA from 1 species
CCCUCUUUCUACAGUGCUUAAUAUCUGAAAGCCAAUUAAUAUGCCUGACCUUGAAAAGUCACGUCUAUCAACCCUAAGGUCCAAGACAUUGUGGAACAGAGACAAGCCAUUUCUACUGUGUCCUUAUUGAAUACCUGGCCCACAGUAUCCCUGACCAUAACAAAAUGCUACCCAUCAAAUAAGAGAACCCAUUGCAGAACCAGAAGGGACAUCAUCCAAGCUGUCUGAAAUCCCGGUUGGUACUCCAGGCUUCAACAACUGCAGCACAAUGAGAGACAGCAAAGAACAUCCUGGCCUUUGACAACCCCCUGUCUUCUAACAUACUGAGGUUAAUCAGACCGAGGACAAUUUGGAAGGGGCUCUCUGCCACAACUUGGGGAGUGGAGGUAGGGAAGGCCAUAGGAGCCCCAGCAGGUAGGCCACAUAGCCUGAGUUAUGGAAUCUAACUCCAGUCUGUCUUCCAAAUAUUUCUGGGGUGUCAGAUCUAUGGUAGCCUGAGAGGCAUAUUCUGAAGCCAUUUCCCUCCUAGAGAUCUCGGACUUCUUUCAGCUUCUUGAUGUUAUUACACUAAGAGAAUAUGAACACCUCCUUACAGCAAAUGCUGUAGUUAUAAAACAGUUCACCAAAGAACCUAUGUUUCCUUGAAAACCAAAAGACAAUGCAAAAAGAAAAAUCAUUUUAAAAAAGAUCUUCAAAAAAGGCUUGAUAAUUGCAUAAUUUAAAGGACCCCAGGGAAGUCUCAAUGCUACAUAGGUCCUGGGAGAAGGCACCUGAACUACAUGCCUUGGUGAACUGCAUUUCUUUUAGCUUCUCUGCUUGGAAUCAUGAGGUCCCUAGCGUAUGCUGAAUUUUGAAGGCUGAUGAGCGUUUUGGGCUCUUCCCUGCUGACAUCACCCUAUUUCCUUGGGGACCCCAGGCUCUCAGCUGUAGAAGACUCUCAGACAGACACACAUUGCCCAAACAUGCUACCCUGCACACGUGCUAAACUCUGAGGCUCCUGUGGAGUUGUGUGUCGUACUCCUCAGCUCCAGACCACUGUGUCCUGCCCUGGCCUCCACCCAGCCCUGAUGGAGGCCCCAACAUAUGUGCCUCAACCCACACAGGCCCCAGAGUUUGGCAAAGUGUCCCACACGCAAUAACUUUUGAGUCAGUG